rnacentral:rRNA from 1 species
UAACCUGCCUGGUAGCGGGGGAUAACUAUUGGAAACGAUAGCUAAUACCGCAUAACAGUCGACAUUGCAUGAUGUUGAUUUGAAAGGGGCAAUUGCUCCACUACCAGAUGGACCUGCGUUGUAUUAGCUAGUUGGUGAGGCAACGGCUCACCAAGGCGACGAUACAUAGCCGACCUGAGAGGGUGAUCGGCCACACUGGGACUGAGACACGGCCCAG